AUAAACAUUCAUAUGAUGCACCACGCCGUACACCGGGGUACCGUAGUACCCCGGGGUACGGCGUUGUGCAGCGCCAUCUCGUGUUGUAAUAGUGUACAGUUACAUUGUUGUCAUGGUGAUCACGGUCGUAUGAUCGGU